AUUGAACGCUGGCGGCAGGCCUAACACAUGCAAGUCGAGCGAGCGGCGGACGGGUGAGAAAUGUAUGGGGACUGCCCGAUAGAGGGGGAUAACUACUGGAAACGGUGGCUAAUACCGCACACGGUCGGAUAACCCAUAUGGGAUUAGCUAGUAGGUAAGGUAAUGGCUUACCUAGGCGACGAUCCCUAUCUGGUCUGAGAGGAGGAUCCGCCACACUGGGACUGAGACACGGCCCAGACUCCUACGGAGGAAGCAGUGGGGAAUAUUGCACAAUGGGCGCAAGCCUGAUGCAGCCAUGCCGCGUGUAUGAAGAAGGCCUUAGGGUCGUAAAGUACUUUCAUUCGGGAGGCGUUACCGACAGAAUAAGCACCGGCUAACUCCGUGCCAGCAGCCGCGGUAAUUC
rnacentral:rRNA from 1 species